CAGAGCUCAACAAAAAUCCAGUGGAAGGCUUUUCAGCGGGCUUAAUAGAUGACAAUGAUCUUUCUCGAUGGGAAGUCCUUAUUAUUGGUCCUCCAGAUAACUAUAUGAAGGUGGUGUUUUCAAGGCUCAUCUUACUUUUCCAAAAGCCUAUCCACUGAGGCCGCCAAAAAUGAAAUUCAUCACGGAAAUCUGGCAUCCGAAUGUUGACAAGAAUGGCGAUGUCUGCAUUUCAAUUCUUCAUGAGCCUGGAGAAGACAAAUAUGGCUAUGAAAAACCUGAGGAACGCUGGCUUCCCAUUCACACAGUGGAAACUAAUGAUUAGUGUUAUUUCUAUGCUGGCAGAUCCCAAUGGUGAUUCUCCUGCUAAUGUUGAUGCAGUGGUAAGAUUAUCCUUGAUCUGCCAAUUGUUUUCAGUGUAGAAACCUAAACUUGCAAUGGAGUUUUACUUCUAGCUUGACAAACUAUACAGUAACUUCUGGAAGAACCUCUUAUCACAUGUUAAGGCUACCUUUUUGUUGGGCAAAGCAGUCAUGUUGUGAAAGACAAUGACUAGUUAGACCUGGGAAAUCUCUUGGAGAUUGCAAAGGAAAGAUGCUGUCAGAUUUCAUAGGCAGUAGUUUCUCUCCUAUGCAGUAACACAUUUAUUUAUAGUAAAUAACUUGUGCACAGAGAUGCUUAAUGGAUAAAGUUCAGCUCCUUCACCCUUAAAUUCAAGGGAGCUAGCUAUAAAACCUUGGGGAUAUAUAUUACAUAUAGCUGUUACAACUGCCAAUAAGUUUAGCUGUAGAAGUCAACAUGUUCUGGAACCUUUUUUGUUUCUUACUGUUAUUAGUAUAAUGCACCAAAAAUCCUGUUUUGGAAAUGAUAUAGCCUGUUACCAGAUGAUUGAUUUGAAUGGAAAGAGCAAAUGUGGUGGGGUCCCUCAGCGUAAUUGCUAUCACUUUUUGCAUCAACCUCUCUACAGCAGUCUUCCUGGGUUAAAGCAGCAGGAUUGACUGUAUCUGUGUGUGAUAGGAGAAUGUACUCGAAAAGGCUCCCCAGGCAUCUGGCUUUCUGCUGUGGAGGAAGUGUUGUCCCAGACUAGAAGGGUUGGCUGAGGAGGAGGAGGAAUUUAUAGUGGUUUAUAGCAGAAGACCAGGGUGAAUGUGCAGUAAGGAUUCUAUUGUCAGAUGCAGUAUAGUGCUUCUGGAGCAUGGCCUGUUCCGGAGUGGUAUAUACACACAGCUAUCUGUGCUCUGGAAUUGCUGCAUUUAUACCAGAAUAGCAGUUAGACUAGUAAAUAUUUGUGGUGGGGAGGGAAAAAAAUCUUGGUUCUUGGGAGGAAGUAGGGGAACAGGCUUCAGGCCCCAUUCAUCUGUGACACACCAACAUGCUUUCCUUGGAACUACUCUUGAAUUGCACUUCAGCAGCAAGUAAUUCAUGCUGUCCUCUCACAAAAGAGGGGGUGAGGAAAAGGGAAAUGGUAAUCAUAAGAUACAGAGUGUUCUAGAGGAAUGUUAACCUGCUUUGUCAAGCUAGCUGUAUGUCUCAAAGUGGGUGGGAGUAAGCCUUUGAUCCACUAUGCUGUUAGUAUUUCCAAAGGUGGUGGAGCUCUACUGAAAAAUCAUCAUGGGAGAGUAGUCUUAUGUGGAACAAACUUAGUGUGAAGAAACCCAGGAACAAACACAAAAAGUUGCAGUGAAGAAGUCCCUCAUCUGACAUUCUUCCGAGAGUUGGAUCUCCCCUUCUUGUGUCAUGUUACUGGUGGAAACAAAUACUCAAGGACACAUGGACUUUUUCUGCUGGCAAACCCGAGAGUGCUGCAAUGAGCAAGUUCUUAAUGAAAUGCUAAAAGUACAGUUAGAAUUCCUUAGUUUACAAGCUCAUGUAUGUUGAAUGUAACUGACUUAAGGCUGGAGAAAGCUUAUGCUUUUAGCUAUGCCUGUCACCUUCCUAGUAUCACAAGCUGGCUUUUUUUUUAUCUUGUGCCCCAUUCUGUCUGCUGCUUCAAGAGUGAGGUGUUUUGCCUGACAUAUUAGAUGGAAAACUCUGCAUUUGUGUACCUAAACCUUAGGGUAAAGGUUUGCUUUUAAACACAGUAUUUUCUAGCCCAGCUUGAAAGAACAAAAACUUCAAUCCAAAUCAGACAGUGAAGACAGUCUGAGGCAUCAUUUUGGAUACUAGGAACUAUUUUUCUGGCUGUGGCAUUAGAUGUUCCAAGCAACUUUGGAACUCAAUGUGCUGCUUGGGCAGCUUAGCAUCUCCUGCUGGAUUGUAGGUUGCCUCCUCUAUAUUAACCAGAACAUACGCAACAGGGUAAUGAAGAAUUCUGAGCUGCUAUCAAGAUGUCUCCUGCUUGGUUUACUGAGCACAAGCUUACUGCAGCAACAGUAUUUGGCAGUUGCUAAAAGAUACUUUGUCUGCUUUCAUUAAUGUCUGGUUUUAGGUGAGUCUAGAGAUUAAGGUAUUACAGGUAGUUCACUGUAGGAGCAGGGCAUAUACCUGCUUCCUGGAAAAAUGAACUGUACAUCUUGCAGUACUGUCCCUUGGAGUGGGAGAAAAAUGACGGAUAGGAGCCUGAAUAAAUAAAUACUGAGAAGCAAAUAGAACAGUUCAUGAUCUAAAAUGAGAGUUUUUGGAGAGAUUGCUGUCAAAUUGGAGACUUUGCUGUUCAAUUCUGAACACUUGCUUCAUAGAACUACAAAUAUAAAACAUGGGAACAAAACCUAAGAAUCUGAAGCUAGGAAGGCAUGAAUUCAGUGCUUUUAUUGGCCUUAAACCAUGUUGUGUAAGCUGCCCCAUGUCCCAAUCCAAGGAACAAGAUGCUUGCUGUAUGAAUUGCUGAAAAAGAACAAAUGUAAUCAGUGGCCUUAUUUGUGCUUUCACUGGGAAGAUAGGGCAUGCUGGGCUUUCCAACAUGCCGACUGGCUACGUGAGCUUGGGGGUGUGAAUGUCAGGAUGUGUCAGUUAUCCCAAUUCUCUCACUCAAAUGUGCUACAACCUUCUCCCCGAGUAGGGGGUGAAAAGCUGUUGCAUGCUAGGUUGCUUCAGGUAAAACAGUGGGGACUCCUUUGCUCACCCCUGCAGUAAGAAUAUAUUGUUUAUAUCCAAAACUAAGAACUGUAGAACUUACUGAAUAAAAUAAGGGGUUCUUCAUGUUUUC
ensembl:lncRNA